rnacentral:rRNA from 1 species
AGUCGAACGAAGUUUUUCGGAACUUAGUGGCGGACGGGUGAGUAACGCGUGAGAAUCUGCCUUAAGGAUUGGGACAACAGUGGGAAACCGCUGCUAAUACCAAAUAUGCCUUUUAGUGAAACGGGUAAAACCGCCUUAAGAUGAGCUCGCGUCUGAUUAGCUAGUAGGUGUGGUAAGAGCGCACCUAGGCGACGAUCAGUAGCUGGUCUGAGAGGACGACCAGCCACACUGGGACUGAGACACGGCCCAGACUCCUACGGGAGGCAGCAGUGAGGAAUUUUCCGCAAUGGGCGAAAGCCUGACGGAGCAAUACCGCGUGAGGGAGGAAGGUUCUUGGAUUGUAAACCUCUUUUCUCAGAGAAGAAUAAUGACGGUAUCUGAGGAAUAAGCAUCGGCUAACUCCGUGCCAGCAGCCGCGGUAAUACGGAGGAUGCAAGCGUUAUCCGGAAUGAUUGGGCGUAAAGGGUCUGUAGGUGGUUGUUCAAGUCUGCUGUUAAAGCGUCUGGCUUAACCAGAUAAAGGCGGUGGAAACUGAACGACUAGAGUGCGGUAGGGGUAGAGGGAAUUCCCAGUGUAGCGGUGAAAUGCGUAGAUCUUGGGAAGAACACCUGUGGCGAAAGCGCUCUACUGGACCGCGACUGACACUGAUGGACGAAAGCUAGGGGAGCGAAUGGGAUUAGAUACCCCAGUAGUCCUAGCCGUAAACGAUGGAUACUAG